UAAAUAUUCAAUAUGUCAUAAAACAAUAUCACUAUUUAGAAUAUAUUUUGACUAGUGUGUUUAUGCCUCAACAAGUCUUGUUUACGCGACUAUCUGUUCGGGUGUAAAUGUAUCGAUGUAGUAUCGAUGUGCUGUAAAUGUGUCCGGAGAUUUGUAAUGUGUUAAUGUUUAGCCAUAAAUAUGUCCGGUAAUGGCCCGUUAACAAAGAUAUACCGCAUCUAUGUACCCAAUUAUCUUAUCUCAACUAUGCUUUACCGCCUUAGUAUUGCUUUAUAAGUUUGUUACUGUGGAGAAUACAUUAUAUUAAUUAUUAAAAACUUUUGUAGGAAUGUGGCAGCAUCACUCUCCUCUUCAGCGGGCAUUUGCAGAAAUGCGACGGACAUUCAUACAGGUAACGUGGCUUCAUCAUCAUUUACUCGCACGGGGGCAUGCAGAAACGAACCCGAAAUAAAUAAAGUGAUACAAUUUAUAUAUAUAUUUUUUAAGGUAAAAUGUAAGGCAAAAUUUGUUUAAUUAUUCCUCAUAACAUUUUUAUGCCACGAUCUACAGAACA